UAAAACGUAGGUGGCGAGCGUUAUCCGGAUUUAUUGGGCGUAAAGAGGGCGCAGGCGGCUUUUUAAGUCAAAUGUAAAAUCUCCCAGCUUAACUGGGAGGGACCAUUUGAUACUGUUAAGCUAGAGUGCAACAGGGGGAGGUAGAAUUCCCGGUGUAGUGGUGAAAUGCGUAGAUAUCGGGAGGAAUACCAGUGGCGAAGGCGGCCUCCUGGGUUGUUACUGACGCUUAAGCCCGAAGGCGUGGGGAGCAAACAGGAUUAGAUACCCUGGUAGUCCACGCUGUAAACGAUGAACACUGGGUAUGGGGAGUAUCAACCCUCUCCGUGCCGAAGCUAACGCGUUAAGUGUUCCGCCUGGGAACUACGGCCGCAAGGCUA
rnacentral:rRNA from 1 species